rnacentral:rRNA from 1 species
UACGGAGGAUGCGAGCGUUAUCCGGAUUUAUUGGGUUUAAAGGGUGCGUAGGCGGGAUGCCAAGUCAGCGGUAAAAAUGCGGUGCUCAACGCCGUCGAGCCGUUGAAACUGGCGUUCUUGAGUGGGCGAGAAGUAUGCGGAAUGCGUGGUGUAACGGUGAAAUGCAUAGAUAUCACGCAGAACUCCGAUUGCGAAGGCAGCAUACCGGCGCCCUACUGACGCUGAGGCACGAAAGCGUGGGUAUCGAACAGG